rnacentral:rRNA from 1 species
GACGAACGCUGGCGGCGUGCUUAACACAUGCAAGUCGAACGGAAAGGCCCUGCUUUUGUGGGGUGCUUGAGUGGCGAACGGGUGAGUAACACGUGAGUAACCUGCCCCUGACUUUGGGAUAAAUUCAGGAAACUGGGGCUAAUACCGGAUAGCAGCUCCUGCUGCAUGGUGGGGGUUGGAAAGAUUCGGCGGUUGGGGAUGUACUCGCGGAUUAUCAGCUUGUUGGGGGGGUUGUGGCUUACCAAGGCUUUGACGGGUAGCACGCCUGAGGGGGUGACCGGCCACAUUGGAACCGAGAGACGGCCCAGACACCGACGGGAGGCAACAGUGCGGAAGAUUGCACAAUGGACGGAAGCCUGAUGCAGCAACUCCGCGUGCGGGAAAACGGCCUUCGGGUGGUAAACCAUAUGCGCCUGUAACUAAGCGUGAGUGGCGGUAAUGUGUAAAGAAACACCGGCUAACUACGUG